GACGAACGCUGGCGGCGUGCUUAACACAUGCAAGUCGUGCGACAGCAUCCUCUUCGGGGGGUGUAUGGAGCGGCGAACGGGUGAGUAACACGUGAGUAACCUGCCCUUGGCUUUGGGAUAACCCUCGGAAACGGGGGCUAAUACCGGGUAUUCAUCUGCUGCGGCAUCGUGGUGGGUGGAAAGGGUUUCCGGCUGGGGAUGGGCUCGCGGCCUAUCAGCUUGUUGGUGGGGUGAUGGCCUACCAAGGCGGCGACGGGUAGCCGGCCUGAGAGGGCGACCGGCCACACUGGGACUGAGACACGGCCCAUGCUCCUUGGGGAGGCAGCAGUGGAGAAUAUUGCACAAUGGGCGAAAGCCUGAUGCAGCGACGCCGCGUGAGGGAUGACGGCCUUCGGGUUGUAAACCUCUUUCGACCCUGACGAAGCGCAAGUGACGGUAGGGGGAGAAGAAGCGCCGGCCAACUACGUGCCAGCAGCCGCCGUAACAC
rnacentral:rRNA from 1 species